rnacentral:lncRNA from 1 species
UAAAUAUAUAAUAAAAUAUAUUGUUUUAAUAAUUAAAUGGUACAAUUGAAAAACAAAUACAUUAGAAAUUGACAAAAGUAUUUAUUUUAGAACAAUAUUUAUUUUCAAACCGGUAACUUAUUGUGGGACGAAGGGAGUAUAUACUUGAUUUAAAAAUUUGUCAUGAAAGAUGAGUCAAAAUGGGGACAAAACACAAACAAAAACAUAAAUUUUGGUCCCCCAUUUUUAAAGUUGUUGAUAUUUGGUCCUCCAUCUUAAUUUGAGUUUUAAUUUGAUAGUGUGACAAUCAUUUAUGUGAUGUGAAAUUUAAAUGUAAUUUUAAUUUUAAGUUAAAUAAUAUCACUUUAAUAAUUUUUGAAAAUAAACAAAAAAAUUAAUUUGUCAUUUUUUCUUUAAAUUUUUUUGUUUUCUUGUAAAAAAGAAUUAAAAAAAAAUUUGCACAUUAUAGUAUACACAUCACUUAAUUAGAUUCCACAUCACUAUAAUUUUGCACAUCAUAAUAUACACAUCACUUAAAUUAUGGUUACAUCACCAAAUUAAAACUUAAAUUAAAAAAAGACUAAAUAUUAACAAUUUUAAAAAUUGUUAAUAUUGCAGAAAAAUAAAUUAAGAGACCAAAAUUAUUUAAUUAAGAAAUAGUUGUUUCUGUAAGCAAUCUUGCAUGCUAUUAAGGAAACUUGUUAAGCUCACUCUUUUUGGACUCUCUUAGGACUACUAUUGAAGACACUAUUAUACAAUAUUUAAUUUUUCUCAAAUACUAGCUACGUAAUAUAAUAAAAUAUUAUUUUUACUUUAUACCACAAUAAAUAUUCACUCUCAUCUUUAUCUUUUUUCUUCUUCUCUCUCUAUUUUUCUCUCAGUUCUCGUUAUACUUUAGGCAAUCUCAUGGAUUAAAAAUAAUUAUAUUUUUGUACAAUUUUUUUUCAAUAAGAGAUCUUCUGGAACAAUAAAACUCAUGCAUGGCUCAAGAUGAGAAAAAAAUCAUUUGCUCUUAGAUAGAAUAACAACAAGACGAGAAAAAAAUAAAUUUAAUUGCAAAUUUGUUGUCAAUAAUACUUAAUAACGAAAUUAGAGAUAAAUUUGACUUUUUUUCUGUUUCUAAAAUUUAGUCGAUAUUUCAAAAUUUUCUUAUAUUGAUUGUAUGUAUUUUAAAUGGCAGUUCUUUAUGUAUGUGCUUAGGGUUUCAUGGUCGGUAAGUCAGAUUGGCUUUCUUAUAUGGGUUGAGUAUCUUUGAUGCUCUCUCUUUUAUGAUUAUAUAUAUAUGUGCGCGCUCUCACUCCUCCCUCGAUCCCUUUCUUAACAUACUUUAUGAAUAAUUUUAUUUUAAUUAGAAUAAAAAUUGAAAUAUGCGUUAAAACACUAAAAUAUGUUUCUUACAAUAAUUUCUUGUUUGGUCAUUUUUAAUAAAAAAAAAAUAAUCCUUUUGUUAUAUAAUGCAUGUUAUAUUGUUGAUUUUAUUUAUAUUAAGAAUACAACAAAAAGAGAAUAAUAAUUUUAUUAAAUUAUUUUUAUUAUGCAUUAGUGUUAAAUAAAAUAAAUAUUACAUUGAAAACUAAAAAUUUAACAGUCAUUUUGAGACAUAUUUUUCAAAAGUGAUAGUCAUUAUGAGAUAAAUAUUUAUGAGUAAAAUCUACACCAUAGCACAGGACAGAUAAAUUUUUUCCAUCAAACUAACAAUGAAAAUGGCGCUUGACUUUUUUUAUUCACCUCAUCCACACCUUCAACCCAAUCAUUUUCUACUUUCAAUAAAAUACUCUGUAUUUGCAUCACCCUAGAUAACUAUAAUUGUAAGAUUGUCUAAGAUGAAAUUUUGAUAGAUGUCAGACUUUGAUUUAUUUAGUUAGAUGAUGUGUCGUGUUGAUUCUCUAUUUCUCAAACAUGCAUAAAUGUUCUUGAAUUAGAAAAAGUAUCAUGAAAAUUAUAUUUUAAAAUGCAUAACAUUAGGUGCAUGAUAGGUUCAUGUUGGUACCCUUUGACAUGCAUUAAAAUAAUUCCCAAGUGAUUCUUAACUUUGUAAAUCAACUCACAUAUUUGUAAGUUGAUUUACAGAGGUUUUGAACUUUUUCUUGAAGUUAUAGAUCUUAUAAAUCGAUUCAACAAGGUGGUGAAUCAACUCACAUUUAUAGGAGAUUUUGUACGUUGACUAACACUCCUAUGAAUCGACUUACAGUGCUUUAGAAUGAAAUCGUAGACUUUCAAGAUACAUGUAAAUCGAUUCAUAAAACUAGUAAGUCGAUUCACACGUGUAGAGUUUGUUUUAGAUAGUUGCAAAACAAUUUUUUAGAAAGACUACAUUUUUCUUUGGCCGAAUUAACUGAAGUGACUUUAUAUUCUGAUCUAAACCUUCAUUUUCAAAACGAAUACUUUCAUCUAUUCCUAAAGUAUCAUGCAUUCAAGAUCAUAACCUCUUAAACAAUUUUUUUGAGGGGAUCCCUAUUUGUUUGAGAAACAUCAAGAGAGUGGAUAUCUCUUUUUAAGGUGAUUGUUCAAGAUGUGGGUGUUCAAGGGGAUAUGGAUUCUCUUUUUUAGGUACUAAUUAAAGAUAGAUUUUCUUCAAGGUCUAGAAUGGGAUUUGUUGUAGCUAGUUGCUAUUUUGUAAGGUUUGAAGGGGUAUCUUCAUCUUGAUGAUAGUGGUUCAGAUUUUUUUUGAAAUGUGUUCUAAGAGAUCUGGUUUAGAGUGUUUAGGGAAGGGUGGACAAUUUUUGUAACAUACGACAAAUCUUGUAAAUGUACUAUUCAUAUAAAGGAAGAAAGUUAUGUUUUUUGAAUAGAGACAAGAUGUACUUUUUAUGUAAGGACUAUUGAGGCAAAAACAUUUUUAAUGUAUGUUUUAAUGACAAGAAACCUUAUGAAAUAAAAUAUUAAUUUUAUAAAUGGUGGUCUACUAAUGAUUGCACUUGAGUUUUGUUUAAGGAACAUGAAUUGCAUAAGUGAGCAAGCAAGAAGUCAUUCACUUCAUCAUAGUGCAUAAGUAUCCACUCAAUAAUGAAAUAAUCUCAAAAGGAAUGUAUCAUAUAUCAAUCAUUCAAGAGAAUAAUUAUUACAUCUUCAAGAUAGCAUCUUCAAAUACAACAAUCAAUGAUCACACUAUGCUAUAAAUCAGAAGCAAGAUCAUUUGAAAAGGAAGCAAAAAUACAAAGACAGAAUGGAGAACGUUCUUGACAGAAGUCUUGAAAACGGAGAACUUCUCCACAGUUCUAAGAUUUCAAGAACAAAUUAUCUCAUUUGUUGAAGAAGAUGUUGCCCCUGUAUUUCGCAAUCAUGUGAUUUGUAGUCUUCCAGGAAUAUAAAGGAUUCAUCUCAGCAAAGAAUCAAUUCAUAAUACAAAGUAGAAAACCUAUGAAUUAUGAUGAAUCAAGCAAGUUCAAGCAAGACUGAUCAUUGUCUAACUUGAAUGUCAAGAACGAAGAACGUUCUUGAAACAUAUGUUUCAAUUGCAUAUCUUGUUAAGACAAACUCUCAAUUUUAGUUUUGUUGAAAAUAAA